UUCUCCUCCCCUUUCUCUGGCCCCGCCCCCUUCUCGGCCUCGGCACCUGCGGAAUCGGGGACGUUUCCCGGGAUUUGGGGAAUUUCCCGGGAUUUGGGAUUUCCCGGGAUUUGGGAUUUCCCGGGAUUUGGGGAAUUUCCCGGGAUUUGGAAUUCCCGGUAUUUGAAAUUUCCCGGGAUUUGAAAUUUCCUGGGAUUUGGGAUUCCUGGGAUUUGGGAUUUCUGUGAUUUUUGGGAUUUGGGGUUCCCGGGAUUUGGGAUUCCCGGGAUUUGGGAUUCCCAGGAUUUGGGAUUCCCAGGAUUCGGGAUUCCCAGGAUUCGGGAUUCCCAGGAUUUGGGUUUUCAUGGGAUUUGGGGUUUCUGGGAUUCCCAGGAUUCAGGAUUCCCAAGAUUUGGGAUUUCCCAGGAUUCAGGAUUCCCAGGAUUCAGGAUUCCCGGGAUUCGGGAUUCCCAGGAUUUGGGAUUUCAUGGGAUUUGGGAUUCCCAGGAUUUGGGAUUCCCGGGAUUCCCGGGAUUCGGGAUUCCCGGGACUUGGAAUUCCCGGGAUUUGGGAUUCCCAGGAUUUGGGAUUCCCGGGAUUUGGGAUUCCCCGGGAUUCGGAAUUCCCGGGAUUUGGGAUUCCCUGGAUUCCCAGGAUUUGGGAUUCCCAGGAUUUGGGAUUCCCGGGAUUCGGGAUCCCCGGGAUUUGGGAUUCCCGGGAUUUGGGAUUUCCCAAGGUUUCAGAUUCCCGGGAUUCAGGAUUCCCAGGAUUCAGGAUUCCCCGGAUUCCCGGGAUUCAGGAUUCCCAGGAUUCGGGAUUCCCGGGAUUCGGGAUUCCCGGGAUUCGGAAUUCCCGGGAUUUGGGAUUCCCGGGAUUUGGGAUUUCUGGGAUUCCCAGGAUUCGGGAUUCCCAGGAUUUGGGAUUUCAUGGGAUUUGGAAUUCCCCGGAUUCCCAGGAUUCGGGAUUCCCGGGAUUCGGGAUUCCCAGGAUUCCCAGGAUUCAGGAUUCCCAGGAUUCAGGAUUCCCGGGAUUCGGGAUUCCCCGGAUUCCGGGCUCUCACCUGGCCGCUCCUCGCGGGCCGGGGCUCCUUCGGCCU
rnacentral:lncRNA from 1 species